rnacentral:tRNA from 1 species
AGGAGAAAGUUGAAUCUAAAAGAAGCUGCUAACUAUCUUUUAAGGCGGUUAAAAUCCGUCUUUCUCCUA